AUUGAACGCUGGCGGCAUGCCUUACACAUGCAAGUCGAACGGCAGCACGGGUGCUUGCACCUGGUGGCGAGUGGCGAACGGGUGAGUAAUAUAUCGGAACGUGCCUUGUAGUGGGGGAUAGCUCGGCGAAAGCCGGAUUAAUACCGCAUACGAUCUUAGGAUGAAAGCGGGGGACCUUCGGGCCUCGUGCUAUAAGAGCGGCCGAUAUCAGAUUAGCUAGUUGGUGGGGUAAAAGCUCACCAAGGCGACGAUCUGUAGCUGGUCUGAGAGGACGACCAGCCACACUGGGACUGAGACACGGCCCAGACUCCUACGGGAGGCAGCAGUGGGGAAUUUUGGACAAUGGGCGAAAGCCUGAUCCAGCAAUGCCGCGUGUGUGAAGAAGGCCUUCGGGUUGUAAAGCACUUUUGUUCGGGAAGAAAUCCCUUGGGCUAAUACCUCGGGGGGAUGACGGUACCGGAAGAAUAAGCACCGGCUAACUACGUG
rnacentral:rRNA from 1 species